CGUGCCAGCAGCCGCGGUCAUACGUAGGGUGCAAGCAUUAUCCGGAGUGACUGGGCGUAAAGAGUUGCGUAGGCGGUUUAAUAAGUGAAUAGUGAAACCUGGUGGCUCAACCAUACAGACUAUUAUUCAAACUGUUAAACUCGAGAAUGGUAGAGGUAACUGGAAUUUCUAGUGUAGGAGUGAAAUCCGUAGAUAUUAGAAGGAACACCGAUGGCGUAGGCAGGUUACUGGGCCAUUUCUGACGCUAAGGCACGAAAGCGUGGGGAGCGAACCGGAUUAGAUACCCGGGUAGUCCACGCCGUAAACGAUGGAUACUAGCUGUUGGAGGUAUCGACCCCUUCAGUAGCGAAGCUAACGCGUUAAGUAUCCCGCCUGUGGAGUACGGCCGCAAGGCUAAAACAUAAAGGAAUUGACGGGGACCCGCACAAGCGGUGGAUCGUGUUCUUUAAUUCGAUGCUAAACGAAGAACCUUACCAGGGCUUGACAUCCAGGGAAGGUCUGCGAAAGUAGACUGUGCCUUUUGGAACCCUGUGACAGGUGAUGCAUGGCCGUCGUCAGCUCGUGUCGUGAGAUGUUUGGUUAAGUCCAUCAACGAGCGCAACCCUUGUCGUCAGUUGUAUUUUUCUGGCGAGACUGCCCCGGUAACGGGGAGGAAGGAGGGGAUGAUGUCAGGUCAGUAUUGGUCUUACGCCCUGGGCUAGAAACGUCCUAC
rnacentral:rRNA from 1 species